CCAGCAGCCGCGGUAAUUCCAGCUCCAAGAGCGUAUAUUAAAGUUGUUGCAGUUAAAAAGCUCGUAGUUGAACCUUGGGAAGGCCGCGCCGGUCCGCCUUUUGGCGAGCACUGGAGGCAGCCUUCCUUUCCUCUGCCAUCCCUUCGGGGCGGGCAGACUAUUACUUUGAGUAAAUGAGAGUGUUCAAAGCAGGCGUACGCUUGAAUCUGUUAGCAUGGAAUAAUAGAAUAGGACGCAUGGUUCUAUUUUGUUGGUUUCUAGGACCAUCGUAAUGAUUAAUAGGGACGGUCGGGGGCAUCAGUAUUCAGUUGUCAGAGGUGAAAUUCUUGGAUUUACUGAAGACU
rnacentral:rRNA from 1 species